rfam:TPA: Bos taurus chromosome 2, whole genome shotgun sequence.
UCCCUGGUGGUCCAGUGGUUAGGACUCUACACUUCCACUGCAGUGGGCCUGAGUUCAAUUCUUGCUCAGGGAA